rnacentral:rRNA from 1 species
UACGUAGGUGGCAAGCGUUGUCCGGAAUUAUUGGGCGUAAAGCGCGCGUAGGCGGUCCUUUAAGUCUGAUGUGAAAGCCCACGGCUCAACCGUGGAGGGUCAUUGGAAACUGGGGGACUUGAGUGCAGGAGAGAAGAGUGGAAUUCCACGUGUAGCGGUGAAAUGCGUAGAGAUGUGGAGGAACACCAGUGGCGAAGGCGACUCGUUGGCCGGUAACUGACGCUGAGGCGCGAAAGCGUGGGGAGCAAACAGG